rnacentral:sRNA from 1 species
GCGGAGGAAAAGAAACCAACAGGGAUUGCCCUAGUAACGGCGAGUGAAGCGGCAACAGCUCAAAUUUGAAAUCUGGCGUCUUUGGCGUCCGAGUUGUAAUUUGCAGAGGGCGCUUUGGCAUUGGCAGCGGUCCAAGUUCCUUGGAACAGGACGUCACAGAGGGUGAGAAUCCCGUACGUGGUCGCUAGCCUUUACCGUGUAAAGCCCCUUCGACGAGUCGAGUUGUUUGGGAAUGCAGCUCUAAAUGGGAGGUAAAUUUCUUCUAAAGCUAAAUACUGGCCAGAGACCGAUAGCGCACAAGUAGAGUGAUCGAAAGAUGAAAAGCACUUUGGAAAGAGAGUUAAAAAGCACGUGAAAUUGUUGAAAGGGAAGCGCUUGCAGCCAGACUUGCCUGUAGUUGCUCAUCCGGGUUUUUACCCGGUGCACUCUUCUACGGGCAGGCCAGCAUCAGUUUGGGCGGUUGGAUAAAGGUCUCUGUCAUGUACCUCCUCUCGGGGAGAACUUAUAGGGGAGACGACAUGCAACCAGCCCGGACUGAGGUCCGCGCAUCUGCUAGGAUGCUGGCGUAAUGGCUGUAAGCGGCCCGUCUUGAAACACGGACCAAGGAGUCUAACAUCUAUGCGAGUGUUUGGGUGUCAAGCCCGAGCGCGUAAUGAAAGUGAACGGAGGUGGGAACCUUUCGGGGUGCACCAUCGACCGAUCCUGAUGUCUUCGGAUGGAUUUGAGUAAGAGCAUAGCUGUUGGGACCCGAAAGAUGGUGAACUAUGCUUGAAUAGGGUGAAGCCAGAGGAAACUCUGGUGGAGGCUCGCAGCGGUUCUGACGUGCAAAUCGAUCGUCAAAUUUGGGCAUAGGGGCGAAAGACUAAUCGAACUAUCUAGUAGCUGGUUCUG